rnacentral:lncRNA from 1 species
UUGUGAGCCAAUGGGCAACAUUUGCUUUUCUUCUUAUCAUUAUCAUAUAUAUUACUUGAAGAUGGUAUGUGAAAGUUUUCUCUGCUAAUGAAUGUGGUUUCUUGCAGGGGGCAGGUGGUGGUGCUGGUUGCUUUCUGAGAGCUACAGCCAUUGUUGCGAUUCCAGGAGAGGGGGGUAUGAUACAUCCUCUGAGCAGCAUGUGAGAGGUUUAGAAGAAAUUCAGCAUGUUUCCAUGGCGACCACUCUCCGUUAGCCCGCUGUCCAAAGUGAGGUAAUGUAGCAGGCAGACUUGAGAGGGACACCUAUAAAAUUCCCAUUGUGAUCGCAUAGAAAGCUGCUGUGUGAGUACGUGUGUCGUUGUGUGUUUACUUUGGGCCUGAUUCAACACAACUUAACUGAUUCACAGGAGAAGAUUUCUGGACCAGGUCUGGUGUAAUUCACAGGACAGAUUUGUUAAAACAUGGUGUCUGCAGAUCUUGAAAAGUCUUAAAAAGCUCUGAAUUCUGUUUCCCAAAAAUAGAAAAGAGAAUAAAAGCCCAUGCAGUCGUUAAUAUCAUGUCUCCCAUUCUGUUUAUGUUUUGUCCAUCUAUCAUUCCAAAACUCAAAAUGUUUUAUUUUCUAUAUAUGUCAAAAAGGGCAUCAAGUGUUAACAUUUUGUAAGUAAAACAAUCCAAUGUUUGACAUUUGUUAUUCAAUUAUUAAGUGAUAAUCAAAAUAGUUGCAGAUUAAUUUUCCUUUGAUGGAAUAAUACUAAUCGCUGCAUUUAUUUCAUCAUCAUAUGCAUUAUUUUACCGGGUUAAUCCAUCAAUCCGCUUUCUCCACCAGGUCCAGGUUGUAUUAAUUAAACAAAUUAUUUAAUUGUAUUGUUAUAUAUGCUGGGAGCCAAUUGAAAUAUGAUAUAAUAAUAAAUAAUUGUAGUCCAUAUUGUCCCUGCUGGUUUUCCAUAAUACUUUAAAACUUUGGCCAGUGUGAUGGUGAAGCAGUUAUUUAAUUCCAUUCUAUGCAGUAUUAAAAUAAAACAAAACACUGCAGAACGCCAUAAAUGUUUCUUUGUGGUUAAAUAGCAUGAUACAUUAUCCUCUAUUGAUGCAGCUCUGUGUGAAAUUAAACAGUUAAACUCAAAAUGAAUUAGUACUCCUGAUUGUUACCACAAGUUUCCCAUGUAUUCAACACCCUCCCUGAAAAAGUACGACGUCGACUGCAUAGUGCCAAAACAUGCCCUAUGGCAUUGAUUUUUUUUUGAAGGAGUAUAGGAAGUGGACAUAUUUUUAGAUCAUUUGUAAUUUGUGAAUGUGCAACAUGCAGACAAAUAUGCAUACUGUUGCAAAUGUAUACGCCAUGCAAUUGUGCAAAAAG